GUCAGCAGGGGCGCCUGCGCUCGGAGGCCUGGAGCCCGGCGGCCUUGCCACGCGCUCGUACGUCGCGCGCGGUCCCGCGGGCGCCGCGCAGUCGGGGGUGUCGUCGCCGGGAGGCUUCCCACGGCUGAAGGGAAAGGCCAGGGCCGGAGAGGGCCAGGGCCGGAGAGGGGGCAGGGAGGUGGGGGGGCGGCCCGGCCCGACGCUGCGGGAGCCCUUCGCGCAGCUUGUAGACAUUUGCGACUCCAGGAAGUUCCUUUCUCUCCCGAUUACCUCGUGAGCUGCGGGAGCCGGGCGCCAGGGGAGAGCAGAGACCCUCGUUCCCAACAACACUGUCUCCCCUUCCUCCGUGUAUCACCUCCUCUUCGCGUGGACACUCCUGUUUCUCUGAUCAGAGACCUAUUGGAGUUCAACAAAUAAAACCUCCAGCAGUUGUUUUUACGCUAUUAACAGGGCUGAUAACCAUCACUUUCUGAGUGUGUUUUAAGAGUGAAGUUGAAAUCCUUGUUCAAGUCUGUUAACUUUUCAUGUUUGAAUUUAAAAACACCCCUGCUCACUACCUUAACCAGUCUAUUGAACUUAAUUGCAUUAAUAGAGGACCAGUCUAACAUACACAGCAUCAGCUAGAAGAUAUUCUUGCCAAAAAUGUCUAAUUCAAAGCUAGUCAAGCCUUUAAACCAAACUUUGCAUUUGAAGGAAAGAUAAUGGGAUAAUAGACACCAUAAUGAAAUCAUCAAAAUAACCAGAAUGUGGGACACUUAAUUUAGUUGUCAAAAAAAAGUCAUUAAAAAAAGGGGGGGGGGGGACAGGGAGACUGUUUGGGAUUUAAAGAGACUAAAAAAGGGAUCCCUGCGUGGCUCAGGGGUUUAGCACCUGCCUUCAGCCCAGGGCGUGAUACUGGAGUCCCAGGAUCCAGUCCCACGUCAGGCUCCCAGCAUGGAGCCUGUUUCUCCCUCUGCCUCUCUCUCUCUCUCUCUCUCUCUCUCUCUCUCUCUCUGUGUGUGUCUCAUGAAUAAAUAAAAUCUUUAAAAAAAUUAAAGAGCCUGA
rnacentral:lncRNA from 1 species